CCAAAACGUUUAUCCCUACUGAACACUUCUCUGGUCUGUUUCACUCUGUUCCAAAACAUUUAUCCCUACUGAACACUUCUCUGGUCUGUUUCACUCUGUUCCAAAACGUUUCUCCCUACUGAACACUCUGCUGGUCUGCUUCUUUUGUUUCUGCUAAGGGUUAGGGUUCAGAGGCCAGUAGUGGAGACUGUGUGUGUUUGACACCACUGUCCUCCAGGCUCCUGGACGCCUCAGGAGGGGGCAGGAUGUGAUGUCACAGCGGCGCUCCCUUCUUCCUGUCCGGCGGUGUGUGUGAGAGAGGUGGAGGCUCCACCUAGAUUAACAGGAGAGAUGUUUGAGGUGAAACCCCGUGGUGUGGAGAAGAAGGGCGGAAGCACAGAGACUGGUGAGUGAAGAGGAAUGGGGAGAAGAGUGGAGGAGAUACUGAGGAGAGAGGUAAACAGGAGGAGAGGGGGCAGUAGAUACUGAGGAGAGAGGUAAACAGGAGGAGAGGGGGCAGUAGAUACUGAGGAGAGAGGUAAACAGGAGGAGAGGGGGCGGUAGAUACUGAGGAGAGAGGUAAACAGGAGGAGAGGGGGCGGUAGAUACUGAGGAGAGAGGUAAACAGGAGGAGAGGGGGCA
ensembl:lncRNA